AGAACGCAGCGAAAUGCGAUAAGUAAUGUGAAUUGCAGAAUUCAGUGAAUCAUCGAAUCUUUGAACGCACCUUGCGCUCCUUGGUAUUCCUUGGAGCAUGCCUGUUUGAGUAUCAUGAAAUCUUCAAAGUAAAUCUUUUGUUAACUCAAUUGGUUUCUACUUUGGUAUUGGAGGUCUUUGCAGCUUCACACCUGCUCCUCUUUGUUCAUUAGCUGGAUCUCAGUGUUAUGCUUGGUUCCACUCGGCGUGAUAAGUUAUCUAUCGCUGAGGACACUGUAAAAGGUGGCCAAGGUAAAUGCAGAUGAACCGCUUCUAAUAGUCCAUUGACUUGGACAAUACUUUUAUGAUCUGAUCUCAAAUCAGGUAGGACUACCCGCUGAACUUAAGC
rnacentral:misc_RNA from 1 species